rnacentral:rRNA from 1 species
GACGAACGCUGGCGGUGUGCUUCACACAUGCAAGUCGAACGGGGUAGCAAUACCUAGUGGCGGACGGGUNAGUAACACGUGGGAAUCUGCCUUCAGAUGGGGGAUAACGGUCCGAAAGGACCGCUAAUACCGCAUAUGUGUAUAUCCCGACAGGGGUAUACAUGAAAGAGCAAUCCGUCUGUAGAUGAGCCCGCGUCCGAUUAGCUAGUUGGUAGGUAAAGCCUACCAAGGCUUCGAUCGGUAGCUGGUCUGAGAGGAUGAUCAGCCAACAAUGGGACUGAGACACGGCCCAUACUCCUACGGGAGGCAGCAGUGGGGAAUUUUGUGC